GACAGAGGAUGCAAGCGUUAUCCGGAAUGAUUGGGCGUAAAGCGUCUGUAGGUGGCUUUUUAAGUCCGCCGUCAAAUCCCAGGGCUCAACCCUGGACAGGCGGUGGAAACUACCAAGCUGGAGUACGGUAGGGGCAGAGGGAAUUUCCGGUGGAGCGGUGAAAUGCGUAGAUAUGCGGAGGAACACCGAUGGCGAAGGCAAUCCCCUGGGCCUGCACUGACGCCUCAUGCACGAAAGCGUGGGGAGCAAACAGG
rnacentral:rRNA from 1 species